rnacentral:misc_RNA from 1 species
GAUGAAGAACGUAGCGAAAUGCGAUACUUGGUGUGAAUUGCAGAAUCCCGUGAACCAUCGAGUCUUUGAACGCAAGUUGCGCCCGAAGCCAUUAGGCCGAGGGCACGCCUGCCUGGGCGUCACACGUCGUUGCCCCCCCAUCUACUCCUUCGGAAUUGCGGGGGGCGGAUGAUGGCCUCCCGUGCGCCUCGUCGCGCGGUUGGCAUAAAUGCCAAGUCCUCGGCGACGCACGCCACGACAAUCGGUGGUUGCGAAACCUCGGUUGCCCGUCGUGUGCGGUCGUCGCGCAUCGAGGGCUCGAAAAAAUUGCCGGGCUCCGGCUCGGCUUUCAACGCGACCCCAGGUCAGGCGGGGUUACCCGCUGAAUUUAAGCAUAUCAAUAAGCGGAGGA